CCUACGGGAGGCAGCAGUAGGGAAUUUUCGGCAAUGGGGGGAACCCUGACCGAGCAACGCCGCGUGAAGGAAGAAGGAAUUCGUUCUUUAAACUUCUGUUUUACAGGAAGAAAGACGGAUGGAGGAAAUGACAUCCGAGGUACUUUAAUUUAUGAGAAAGCCACGGCUAACUACGUGACAGCAGCCGCUGUAAUACGUAGGUGGCAUGCGUUAUCCGGAAGUAUUGGGCGUAAGGAGUGAGCAGGCGGAAGGAAAGGGCUGUGGUAAAAGCCUGAAGCGUAACUUCAGUAAGCCAUAGAAACCGGGCAGCUAGAGUGGAGGAGAGGAACGUGGAAUUCCAAGUGUAGCGGUGAAAUGCGUAGAUAUAUGGCGGAACACCAGUGGCGAAGGCGACGAACUGGC
rnacentral:rRNA from 1 species